rnacentral:rRNA from 1 species
GGUCAAGUUAUUAAGGGUGCAGGGCGGAUGCCUUGGCACUAGGAGCCGAUGAAGGACGUGAUAAGCUGCGAUAAGCUUCGGGGAGUUGCACGUAAACUUUGAUCCGAAGAUUUCCGAAUGAGGAAACUCACUUAGAGUAAUGUCUAAGUAUCAUUAAGUGAAUACAUAGCUUAAUGAGGGGAACUCAGGGAACUGAAACAUCUAAGUACCUGAAGGAAGAGAAAGAAAUUCGAUUCCGUAAGUAGCGGCGAGCGAACGCGGAUUAGCCCAAACCAAUAAAGUUUUCUUUAUUGGGGUUGCGGACAUAUCAUAACGAAGAGGUAUCGUAAUUGAAGAGGUUUGGAAAGACCCACCACAGAAGGUAAUAGUCCUGUAUGUUAAACGAGAAGACUUCAGAUAUGAUCCAGAGUACCACGGGACACGUGAAACCCUGUGGGAAGCAGGAGGGACCACCCUCCAAGGCUAAAUACUACCUAGUGACCGAUAGCGUAUAGUACCGUGAGGGAAAGGUGAAAAGAACCCCGGGAGGGGAGUGAAAUAGAACCUGAAACCCUGCACUUACAAGCUGUGGAAGCACAUUUCUUGUGUGACCGCGUACUUUUUGUAGAACGGGCCAACGAGUUACGUUAAGUAGCAAGGUUAAGCACUUAAGGUGCGGAGCCGUAGCGAAAGCGAG